UACGGGGGGAGCAAGCGUUGUUCGGAUUUACUGGGCGUAAAGGGCGCGUAGGCGGCCACUGCAAGUCAGUUGUGAAAUCUCCGGGCUUAACCCGGAAAGGUCAACUGAUACUGCAGGGCUAGAGUGCAGAAGGGGCAACUGGAAUUCUCGGUGUAGCGGUGAAAUGCGUAGAUAUCGUGAGGAACACCAGAGGCGAAGGCGGCUACCUGGACAAUUGCUGACGCUCAGGCACGAAAGCGUGGGGAGCAAAAGGG
rnacentral:rRNA from 1 species